UACAGAGGGUGCGAGCGUUGUCCGGAAUCACUGGGCGUAAAGGGCGCGUAGGUGGCGACCCAAGUCAAUGGUGAAAGCUCGAUGCUCAACAUCGAGUCGGCCACUGAUACUGGGUUGCUCGAGCACUGUAGAGGCAGAUGGAAUUCCGGGUGUAGCGGUGGAAUGCGUAGAGAUCCGGAAGAACACCGGUGGCGAAGGCGGUGAGCUGGGCAGUUGCUGACACUGAGGCGCGACAGCGUGGGGAGCAAACAGG
rnacentral:rRNA from 1 species